CCUACGGGUGGCAGCAGUGAGGAAUAUUGGUCAAUGGACGCGAGUCUGAACCAGCCAAGUCGCGUGAAGGAUGACUGCCCUAUGGGUUGUAAACCUCUUUUAUCUGGGCAUAACAUGUUCCACGUGUGGGAUUUUGUAUGUACCAUAUGAAAAAGGAUCGGCCAACUCCGUGCCCGCCGCCGCGGUAAUACGGAGGGUCCGGACGGUAUCCGGAUUUAUUGGGUUUAAAGGGUGCGUCGGUGGAGUUUUAAGGCAGUUGUGAAAGUUUGCGGCUCAACCGUAAAAUUGCAGUUGAAACUGGCAGUCUUGAGUACAGUAGAGGUGGGCGGAAUGCGUGGUGUAGCGGUGAAAUGCUUAGAUAUCACGCAGAACGCCGAUUGCGAAGGCAGCUCACCGGACUGCAACUGACACUGAGGCACGAAAGUGUGGGUAUCAAACAGGAUUAGAUACCCGGGUAGUC
rnacentral:rRNA from 1 species